UAAUUGAAGAGUUUGAUCAUGGCUCAGAUUGAACGCUGGCGGCAGGCCUAACACAUGCAAGUCGAGCGGAAACGGCAGCAUUGAAGCUUCGGUGGAUUUGCUGGACGUCGAGCGGCGGACGGGUGAGUAACGGCUGGGAACCUGCCCUGACGAGGGGGAUAACCGUUGGAAACGACGGCUAAUACCGCAUAAUGUCUUAGUUCAUUACGAGCUGGGACCAAAGGUGGCCUCUACAUGUAAGCUAUCGCGUUGGGAUGGGCCCAGUUAGGAUUAGCUAGUUGGUAAGGUAAUGGCUUACCAAGGCGACGAUCCUUAGCUGGUUUGAGAGGAUGAUCAGCCACACUGGGACUGAGACACGGCCCAGACUCCUACGGGAGGCAGCAGUGGGGAAUAUUGCACAAUGGGGGAGACCCUGAUGCAGCCAUGCCGCGUGUGUGAAGAAGGCCUUCGGGUUGUAAAGCACUUUCAGCAGUGAGGAAGGUGGUGUACUUAAUACGUGCACGGCUUGACGUUAGCUGCAGAAGAAGCACCGGCUAACUCCGUGCCAGCAGCCGCGGUAAUACGGAGGGUGCGAGCGUUAAUCGGAAUUACUGGGCGUAAAGCGCAUGCAGGCGGUUUGUUAAGUCAGAUGUGAAAGCCCGGGGCUCAACCUCGGAACCGCAUUUGAAACUGGCAGGCUAGAGUCUUGUAGAGGGGGGUAGAAUUUCAGGUGUAGCGGUGAAAUGCGUAGAGAUCUGAAGGAAUACCAGUGGCGAAGGCGGCCCCCUGGACAAAGACUGACGCUCAGAUGCGAAAGCGUGGGUAGCAAACAGGAUUAGAUACCCUGGUAGUCCACGCCGUAAACGCUGUCUACUUGGAGGUUGAGGUUUAGACUUUGGCUUUCGGCGCUAACGCAUUAAGUAGACCGCCUGGGGAGUACGGCCGCAAGGUUAAAACUCAAAUGAAUUGACGGGGGCCCGCACAAGCGGUGGAGCAUGUGGUUUAAUUCGAUGCAACGCGAAGAACCUUACCUACUCUUGACAUCCAGCGAAUCCUUUAGAGAUAGAGGAGUGCCUUCGGGAGCGCUGAGACAGGUGCUGCAUGGCUGUCGUCAGCUCGUGUUGUGAAAUGUUGGGUUAAGUCCCGCAACGAGCGCAACCCUUAUCCUUGUUUGCCAGCACGUAAUGGUGGGAACUCCAGGGAGACUGCCGGUGAUAAACCGGAGGAAGGUGGGGACGACGUCAAGUCAUCAUGGCCCUUACGAGUAGGGCUACACACGUGCUACAAUGGCAGAUACAGAGGGCAGCGAAGCUGCGAAGUGGAGCGAAUCCCUUAAAGUCUGUCGUAGUCCGGAUUGGAGUCUGCAACUCGACUCCAUGAAGUCGGAAUCGCUAGUAAUCGUGGAUCAGAAUGCCACGGUGAAUACGUUCCCGGGCCUUGUACACACCGCCCGUCACACCAUGGGAGUGGGCUGCACCAGAAGUAGAUAGCUUAACCUUCGGGAGGGCGUUUACCACGGUGUGGUUCAUGACUGGGGUGAAGUCGUAACAAGGUAGCCCUAGGGGAACCUGGGGCUGGAUCACCUCCUUA
rnacentral:rRNA from 1 species